rnacentral:rRNA from 1 species
UGGGGAAUAUUGGACAAUGGGCGAAAGCCUGAUCCAGCCAUGCCGCGUGAGUGACGAAGGCCUUAGGGUUGUAAAACUCUUUCGUCGGGGACGAUAAUGACGGUACUCGGAGAAGAAGCUCCGGCUAACUUCGUGCCAGCAGCCGCGGUAAUACGAAGGGGGCUAGCGUUGUUCGGAUUUACUGGGCGUAAAGCGCGUGUAGGCGGGUUGGAAAGUUGGGGGUGAAAUCCCGAGGCUCAACCUCGGAACUGCCUCCAAAACUUCCAGCCUGGACUCAAGUAGAGGCAAGUGGAAUUGCGAGUGUAGAGGUGAAAUUCGUAGAUAUUCGCAGGAACACCAGUGGCGAAGGCGACUUGCUGGACUUGUAGUGACGCUGAGACGCGAAAGCGUGGGGAGCAAACAGGAUUAGAUACCCUCGUAGUCCCUGAGCGGGCUGGCAAGGCGCAU